ensembl:antisense_RNA ZK1251.15 ncRNA
CAAUAUGACUUUCCAAAGAAUUCAUCACAUAAAUAAGAAGGCAGCUGAAGUUCUGGGACCCGUAGUGUGGUAAGUCAGAAAGCAACGAUCUCAAAAUACAGCUAAGACCCAAGUCAUCAAUAUGAAGAACAAGUUUCAAAAAAUAGAUUUUAUUGAAAAUAUUUUAAUUAAAAAUGAAACCGUAACCAUUUUUAAACCAAUUAAAUUGAAACUAACUUGUAAUUUUGAUGUAGUUGUUGAUGUAAAUCGUCCAUCAUUCUUUUGUAAUUUUUCCUGGAAAAAAUAAAGUUUUCAUUGUCA